rnacentral:misc_RNA from 1 species
UGGUUCUGGCAUCGAUGAAGAACGCAGCGAAAUGCGAUAAGUAAUGUGAAUUGCAGAAUUCAGUGAAUCAUCGAAUCUUUGAACGCACAUUGCGCCCCUUGGUAUUCCGAGGGGCAUGCCUGUUCGAGCGUCAUUACAACCCUCAAGCAAUGCUUGGUAUUGGGCUUGGCUGUAACGGGCCAGUCUUAAAACUAUUGGCAGUGCUUUCUAGCUCUAAGCGUAGUAAAUUUUCUCGCUACAGGGUCAGACAAGCUCUAGCCAUUAAACUUUAUUUUUUGGUUGACCUCGGAUCAGGUAGGGAUACCCGCUGA